CUCCCUCUCUCUCUAUCUCUCCCUAUCUCUCCCAUUUCCAUUCUCUCUAUUAAUAACAACCAUAGCCCACUUCUUUCUCCCAUGCAAUUGUCCUCUUCAUUUCAACCCACUCCCUCACUUCUCUUCUCUCCUUCAUAUCAACAAACAAUACAAAAUAAACAAUAUAACCACUUUUAUUUAUUUCUCCCUUCACACAAUCUCUCUCACAACCAACCAAAUAAUUCUCUCUACUACAAAUUAUAAGGUUGCUACACCAAUUAACAUCAUCAAGUAUAAGUGUUUCUGA